rnacentral:lncRNA from 1 species
UUGAAUAUCUAACCAAUCUUUAGCACCAUUUUAGAUUUACUGAUUGAGAUAGCACUAAAGAUGCUAAAGCAGAUCAACCUAUCAACUACACACUUUCCUUGAACCGUAUGAAGUAACCAAAGCUGAUUUCCAACACUAAACCUGACAUAACCGCUUGUCUUGGGGCUUGGUAUACAUGGGAUCGGAUUCUUCAGACAGGUCUGGAAGGUAACGCCUGGU